GGCUUGUAGAUGGAUAACUGAGUUCUACAGGUAGGGAUUUGUCUAGGUCUUAAGCUUGAGGUAACCAAAAGAGGAUUAGACUUGGAUUUUCAAGCCUGUGUAAAGCAUGCACUCAUACCCUGUCCUCAGUGGGAUUUGGACAUCUUUGCUACUGGUUGCUGGGGGGAAAAGAUGCUGUGGGUGGAAAAUGGUAUAUUAGCCAAGUGACUCUCAAUGGACCAUUCAUAUAUUUUCUACUCCCUAGUAAAUUUAUCUUAACAUAUUAAGAAAACAAAAUGGUUCGUAAGUGGUUGUGCUUUUAAAAUUUAUGGAUUUAGCAACAUUUUACAGAUUUCACUUGUAUGACUGAGUUUUUGCUAGUUAGAUGAAUUGUUAAAAAUCUUAAAGAAACGAAUGUAUCCUAUAGUAAUAUAAUUUGAAAACAAA
ensembl:lncRNA novel transcript, sense intronic to CCDC11